GACGAACGCUGGCGGCGUGCCUAAUACAUGCAAGUCGAGCGGACAGACGGGAGCUUGCUCCCUGAUGUUAGCGGCGGACGGGUGAGUAACACGUGGGUAACCUGCCUGUAAGACUGGGAUAACUCCGGGAAACCGGGGCUAAUACCGGAUGGUUGUCUGAACCGCAUGGUUCAGACAUAAAAGGUGGCUUCGGCUACCACUUACAGAUGGACCCGCGGCGCAUUAGCUAGUUGGUGAGGUAACGGCUCACCAAGGCAACGAUGCGUAGCCGACCUGAGAGGGUGAGCGGCCACACUGGGACUGAGACACGGCCCAGACUCCUACGGGAGGCAGCAGUAGGGAAUCGUACGCAAUGGACGAAAGUCUGACGGAGCAACGCCGCGUGAGUGAUGAAGGUUUUCGGAUCGUAAAGCUCGGUUGUUAGGGAAGAACAAGUGCCGUUCAAAUAGGGCGGCACCUUGACGGUACCUAACCAGAAAGCCACGGCUAACUACGUG
rnacentral:rRNA from 1 species